CCUACGGGUGGCAGCAGUGAGGAAUAUUGGUCAAUGGACGAGAGUCUGAACCAGCCAAGUAGCGUGAAGGAUGACUGCCCUAUGGGUUGUAAACUUCUUUUAUAUGGGAAUAAAAUGUUCCACGUGUGGGAUUUUGUAUGUACCAUAUGAAUAAGGAUCGGCUAACUCCGUGCCAGCAGCCGCGGUAAUACGGAGGAUCCGAGCGUGAUCCGGAUUUAUUGGGUUUAAAGGGAGCGUAGGUGGAUUGUUAAGUCAGUUGUGAAAGUUUGCGGCUCAACCGUAAAAUUGCAGUUGAAACUGGCAGUCUUGAGUACAGUAGAGGUGGGCGGAAUUCGUGGUGUAGCGGUGAAAUGCUUAGAUAUCACGAAGAACUCCGAUUGCGAAGGCAGUUCACUGGACUGUAACUGACACUGAGGCUCGAAAGUGUGGGUAUCAAACAGGAUUAGAUACCCUGGUAGUC
rnacentral:rRNA from 1 species